GACGAACGCUGGCGGCGUGCUUAACACAUGCAAGUCGAACGGAAAGGCCCUGCUUUUGUGGGGUGCUCGAGUGGCGAACGGGGGAGUAACACGUGAGUAACAUGCCCUUGACUUUGGGAUAACUUCAGGAAACUGGGGCUAAUACCGGAUAGGAGCUCCUGCUGCACGGUGGGGGAUGGAAAGAUUCGGCGGUUGGGGAUGGACUCGAGGCUUAUCAGCUUGUUGGUGGGGUAGUGGCUUCCCAAGGCUUCGACGGGUAGCCGGCCUGAGAGGGUGACCGGCCACCUUGCGACUGCGGUAGGGCCCAGACUCCUACCGUCGGCAGCAGUCGAGAACCUUGCACAGCGGGCCGAAGCCUGAUGCGACAACGCCGCGUGCGUAAUGACGGCCUUCUAGUUGUAAACCACUUUCGCCUGUGACGAACCGUGAUUGACGGUAAUGGGUCAAGAAGCACCGGCUAACUACGUG
rnacentral:rRNA from 1 species